ACGGGGGUUGCAAGCGUUGUCCGGAAUUACUAGGCGUAAAGGGCAGGUAGGCGGAUCCAUAAGUUUUUUGUUAAAGGCAACGGCUUACCCGUUGUAAGGCAAGAGAUACUGUGGAUCUGGAGUGCGGAAGGGGAAGACAGAAUUCCUGGUGUAGCAGUGAAAUGCUGUGAGACCUGGGGGACCACCUGUGGCGAAGGCGUCCCACCAGGACGGCAUCGACAGUGAGGAACGAAAGUUUGGGUAGCAAACAG
rnacentral:rRNA from 1 species